rnacentral:lncRNA from 1 species
CCCAUAGAGACACAUAGGGACCCAUAGAGACCCCAUAGGGACCCAUAGGGACCCAUAGAGACCCAUAGGGACCCAUAGAGACACAUAGGGACCCAUAGGGACCCAUAGAGACCCAUAGAGACCCAUAGAGACACAUAGGGACACAUAGAGACACAUAGAGACCCAUAGAGACCCAUAGAGACCCAUAGGGACCCAUAGGGACCCAUAGAGACCCAUAGAGACCCCACCCACCCCUCCCCACUUCCUCCCCCCCCAUCAAUGGGGCCUGUAUCCAUUGAGAGCACCUUUAUUUCUGUGGGGCUGGAGGCACUUGUGGGGCGGAGUGUGGGGCAGCCCCACAGGGCUCAGCUGGGGGGGCACUUGUGGGGCAGAGGAGUCACUUAUGGGGCUGAGAGACCACUUGUGGGUCUCACUAUGGGGCUGAGAGUCACUUAUGGGUCUCCCAAUGGGGCAGAGGAGUCACUUGUAGGGUACAGGAGUCACUUAUGGGGCAGAGGGGUCACUUAUGGGGCAGAGGAGUCACUUAUGGGGCAGAGGGUCACUUAUGGGUCUCACUAUGGGGCUGAGGGGUCACUUGUGGGGCAGAGGGGUCACUUAUGGGGCAGAGGGGUCACUUAUGGGGCUGAGAGACCACAUGUGGGUCUCACUAUGGGGCUGAGGGGUCACUUGUGGGGCAGAGGGGUCACUUAUGGGGCAGAGGGACCACUUGUGGGUCUCUCUAUGGGGCAGAGGGUUCACUUAUAGGGCAGAGGGUUCACUUAUGGGGCAGAGGGUUCACUUAUAGGGCUGAGGAGUCACUUAUAGGGCUUAGAGUCACUUAUGGGUCUCGCUAUGGGGCUGGGAGUCACUUGUGGGGUGGGAGUCGCUAUGGGGCUGGGGGUCGCUAUGGGGCUGGGGGUUGCUAUGGGGCUCAGAGUCGCUAUGGGGCUCAGAGUCGCUAUGGGGCUGGGGGUCGCUAUGGGGCUGGGUGUCGCUAUGGG